rnacentral:rRNA from 1 species
AUUGAACGCUGGCGGCAUGCCUUACACAUGCAAGUCGAACGGCAGCACGGGAGCAAUCCUGGUGGCGAGUGGCGAACGGGUGAGUAAUAUAUCGGAACGUGCCCGGUCGUGGGGGAUAACGUAGCGAAAGCUACGCUAAUACCGCAUACGAUCUACGGAUGAAAGCGGGGGAGUCGCAAGACCUCGCGCGAUUGGAGCGGCCGAUAUCAGAUUAGGUAGUUGGUGAGGUAAAGGCUCACCAAGCCGACGAUCUGUAGCUGGUCUGAGAGGACGACCAGCCACACUGGGACUGAGACACGGCCAGACUCCUACGGAGGCAGCAGUGGGGGAA